rnacentral:rRNA from 1 species
GACAGAGGUGCCGAGCGUUAGGCGGAAUUACUGGGCGUAAAGCGUGCGCAGGCGGCUUUGCAAGACAGAUGUGAAAUCCCCGGGCUUAACCUGGGAACUGCAUUUGUGACUGCAUGGCUGGAGUGCGGCAGAGGGGGAUGGAAUUCCGCGUGUAGCAGUGAAAUGCGUAGAUAUGCGGAGGAACACCGAUGGCGAAGGCAAUCCCCUGGGCCUGCACUGACGCUCAUGCACGAAAGCGUGGGGAGCAAACAGG